CAUGGUCCAGCCAGUCUCCCCAAGCAAAACGAAUUUAAGUUUGAACCCCCGAAACUGAGUGAGCUACUUCGAAAUAGCCACAAGAGCUAACCCGUCUCUGUUGCAAAAGAGUGGGAUGAUUUCCAAGUAGAGGUGAUAAACCUACCGAGCCCAGAGAUAGCUGGUUCCUCAAGAAAAGAAUAUUAGUUCAUCCUUAAGUCUCAAAAUUAUACAAAAAAAACACUUAGACUUUAGAGCUAUUCAAAUAAGGCACAGCUUAUUUGAAACAGGACACAACCUACAAUAUAGGGUAACCCUAUCAAAAAGUGACAGGUGGGCCUAAAAGCAGCCACCCUUAAAAAAGCGUUAAAGCUUAACACUAAUUCUUUACUAAUACCUCAAUUAUCCACUAACCCAUCAUCAAUAUUGAGUUACUCCAUAAAUUUAUGGAAGAUAUAAUGCUGAAACUAGUAACAAGAAGAAGACCUUCUCCUAAAUGUAAACCUAAGCCAUAACAGACAACCUACUGGCAAUUAACGAUAAUGAAACUAUUAUAGUAACCUAACAAGAAAAUUCUAUAACUUCUAACGUCACCCUUACACUAGAACAUUUAUGGAAAGAUUAAAAGAGAAAGAAGGAACUCGGCAAACCAAACCCCCGCCUGUUUAC
rnacentral:rRNA from 1 species